rnacentral:piRNA from 1 species
UGCUUCAAGUUUCAGCUCAGAUGGCAUU